rnacentral:lncRNA from 1 species
UCCUUAUACUGGAGCAACACUUUGCUAAUAGAGUGGUUGCAUGAUUUUGAUGCAACUAAACCACUGUGACCGGUCGAGAACAAUCAAUGUCAGUAGCACGCCCGCAUAUCUACAACGAUGGAAGACCAUGGACUUAAUAUUUAUAGAGAGAUUUUAGGUUUAGGUUUCAUCUAAUCAGUCAUCAUAUGAUCGAUCUAAUUGGCAUGGGCUAAACCAAACCGCUAAGCAACCUUGUUCAAGACCCAAUCUUCCAAAUUGAAAGUGG